rnacentral:rRNA from 1 species
AUGAUCGCCUCCAGCGCUACCCCGAUGGGCCGCGCCACCACUCCAACCCCCGGUGCCCAGUCCCGGUGGCCGCGUGCCGUUGCGCAGCUCCACCUGGCUCUCCGCUCGCCAGCCGCGCGGAGUGGUAGCAGCGGGCGCUGGAUGGGAUGCUUCAGGCCGGCGCCGGUGCCCGCGCCGUCGUCACCGGCGGUUACGGUGGCGGUGAACGAGGGGAGGGGGAAGCGGCCGGAGGCAACGGAGGUGGAUAUGGAGCCGGCACGCGGCGGAGGGGACGACUUAUGGAGCGUUCAGGCCGAGGCGGAGGUAGCGCAGGGCGGGGAGUACCCGGAGCACCUUGUCGUCAUGGUCAAUGGCCUCGUGGGGAGUGCGGAUGACUGGAAGUUUGCAGCUGAGCAGUUCGUGAGGCGGAUGCCAGACAAAGUGAUCAUCCACCGGAGUCAAUGCAACUCUGCUACACAGACAUUUGACGGAGUUGACUUGAUGGGAGAAAGGUUAGCAAACGAGGUUCUAUCAGUUGUCGAGCAAAGAAGAGGUGUGAAGAUGAUCUCAAUUGUGGCGCACUCUCUGGGUGGUCUUGUUGCCAGAUAUGCUAUAGGAAGGCUUUACGAAUGUGGUAACAGAACUAAAUGUUCCGUUGGGAACAACAGAGAGCAAGUUGAAUGCUUGGAGGGUCUCAUCGCCGGCUUAAAACCUAUGAACUUUAUAACCUUUGCAUCACCACAUCUGGGUUCAAGUGGAAACAAACAGCUCCCCUUUCUAUGUGGCUUGCCUUUCCUGGAGCGAAGAGCAUCAGAAACUGCACAUUUGAUUGUUGGAAGAACUGGAAAGCAUUUAUUCCUUACAGACAGUGAUGAUGGUAGGCGUCCACUCCUUCUUCAAAUGGUUCAGGAUCAUGAUGAUAUAAAAUUCAGAUCCGGAUUGCGCUCUUUCAAACGACGUGUGGCAUAUGCGAAUGCCAAUUUUGACCAUAUGGUGGGUUGGAGAACAUCGUCAAUCCGGCGUCAACACGAGUUGCCAAAACAUCGCCUUCUUGUUCGUGAUGAGAAGUAUCCACAUAUAGUCCAUGUUGAUAGAGGAAUUAUGGAAAGAAAUGAAACCGAAGUGAGUGCUAAUCUCUGUGGCCCAGAAGAGGAGAUGAUAAGAGGCCUAACACAACUGCAGUGGGAACGUGUUGAUGUGAGCUUCCAGAAAAGUAGUCAAAGAUUGGUUGCGCAUAACACCAUCCAGGUAAAGAGCUAUUGGCUUAACUCAGAUGGGGCAGACGUUAUCAAUCACAUGAUGGAUAAUUUCCUCAUCUAG